UAACUUAGGGAGAAGGGGUGCCUACGAGAGUAGGCCGCAGUGAAUAGGCUCAAGCAACUGUUUAUCAAAAACACAGGUCUCUGCUAAAGCGUAAGCUGAUGUAUAGGGGCUGACGCCUGCCCGGUGCUGGAAGGUUAAGGGGAAUAGUUAGCGCAAGCGAAGCUAUGAACUUAAGCCCCAGUAAACGGCGGCCGUAACUAUAACGGUCCUAAGGUAGCGAAAUUCCUUGUCGGGUAAGUUCCGACCCGCACGAAUGGCGUAAUGAUUUGAGCACUGUCUCGGCAAUAAAUCCGGUGAAAUUGUAGUGCAAGUGAAGAUGCUUGCUACCCGCGGUUGGACGGAAAGACCCCGUAGAGCUUUACUGUAGCUUAGCAUUGAAUUUCGGUAUUGUCUGUACAGGAUAGGUGGGAGACUUAGAAGCGAGGGCGUCAGCUUUCGUGGAGUCGUCCUUGGGAUACCACCCUGACAGUACUGGAAUUCUAACUGGAGGCCAUGAAUCUGGUCACAGGACAUUGCUAGGUGGGCAGUUUGACUGGGGCGGGCGCCUCCUAAAAGGUAACGGAGGCGCCCAAAGGUUCCCUCAGCGCGGUCGGAAAUCGCGCGUAGAGUGCAAAGGCAGAAGGGAGCCUGACUGCGACACAUACAGGUGGAGCAGGGACGAAAGUCG
rnacentral:rRNA from 1 species